AGAGUUUGAUCCUGGCUCAGGAUGAACGCUGGCGGCGUGCUUAACACAUGCAAGUCGAACGGGAAUGCCGCGCUGAUGCGAUUUCGGUCAAAUCAUGUGGCAUUCGAGUGGCGGACGGGUGAGUAACGCGUGGGUAACCUGCCUUACACAGGGGGAUAACACCUGGAAACAGGUGCUAAUACCGCAUAAGCGCACAGGGCCGCAUGGCCCGGUGUGAAAAACUCCGGUGGUGUAAGAUGGACCCGCGUCUGAUUAGCUUGUUGGCGGGGUAGGGGCCCACCAAGGCGACGAUCAGUAGCCGGCCUGAGAGGGUGGACGGCCACAUUGGGACUGAGACACGGCCCAAACUCCUACGGGAGGCAGCAGUGGGGGAUAUUGGACAAUGGGGGAAACCCUGAUCCAGCGACGCCGCGUGAGUGAAGAAGUAUUUCGGUAUGUAAAGCUCUGUCAGCAGGGAAGAAAGAAAUGACGGUACCUGACCAAGAAGCCCCGGCUAACUACGUGCCAGCAGCCGCGGUAAUACGUAGGGGGCAAGCGUUAUCCGGAAUUACUGGGUGUAAAGGGAGCGUAGACGGCGAUGCAAGUCUGAAGUGAAAGGCGGGGGCCCAACCCCCGGACUGCUUUGGAAACUGUAUGGCUGGAGUGCAGGAGAGGUAAGUGGAAUUCCUAGUGUAGCGGUGAAAUGCGUAGAUAUUAGGAGGAACACCAGUGGCGAAGGCGGCUCUCUGGUCUGCAACUGACGCUGAGGCUCGAAAGCAUGGGUAGCGAACAGGAUUAGAUACCCUGGUAGUCCAUGCCGUAAACGAUG
rnacentral:rRNA from 1 species